GACAGAGGGUGCAAACGUUGUUCGGAUUUACUGGGCGUAAAGCGCGUGUAGGCGGCUUUGCAAGUCGGAUGUGAAAUCCCACGGCUCAACCGUGGAAGUGCAUCCGAAACUGCAUCGCUGGAGUCUCGGAGGGGAAGGUGGAAUGCUUGGUGUAGAGGUGAAAUUCGUAGAUAUCAAGCAGAACACCUGCGGCGAAGGCGGCCUUCUGGACGAUGACUGACGCUGAGACGCGAAAGCGUGGGGAGCAAACAGG
rnacentral:rRNA from 1 species